AACGAACGCUGGCGGCAUGCCUAACACAUGCAAGUCGAACGAGACCUUCGGGUCUAGUGGCGCACGGGUGCGUAACGCGUGGGAACCUGCCCUUAGGUUCGGAAUAACUCCCCGAAAGGGGUGCUAAUACCGGAUAAUGUCUUCGGACCAAAGAUUUAUCGCCUUUGGAUGGGCCCGCGUUGGAUUAGCUAGUUGGUAGGGUAAAAGCCUACCAAGGCGACGAUCCAUAGCUGGUCUGAGAGGAUGAUCAGCCACACUGGGACUGAGACACGGCCCAGACUCCUACGGGAGGCAGCAGUGGGGAAUAUUGGACACUGGGCGAAAGCCUGAUCCAGCACUGCCGCGUGAGUGAUGAAGGCCUUAGGGUUGUAAAGCUCUUUUACCCGGGAUGAUAAUGACAGUACCGGGAGAAUAAGCUCCGGCUAACUCCGU
rnacentral:rRNA from 1 species